UAGCCUACGGGGGGCAGCAGUGGGGAAUAUUGCACAAUGGGGGAAACCCUGAUGCAGCGACGCCGCGUGAGCGAAGAAGUAUUUCGGUAUGUAAAGCUCUAUCAGCAGGGAAGAAAAUGACGGUACCUGACUAAGAAGCCCCGGCUAACUACGUGCCAGCAGCCGCGGUAAUACGUAGGGGGGAAGCGUUAUCCGGAUUUACUGGGUGUAAAGGGAGCGUAGACGGCUUUGCAAGUCUGAAGUGAAAGACAAGGGCUCAACAUUGGGACUGCUUUGGAAACUGUAGAGUUUGAGUACCGGAGGGG
rnacentral:rRNA from 1 species